ACCCGAUCCGUCUCGACCCAUUUUGGGACUUUCAAAGGAUGCCAUUUUCGUUGAAGGACAGUGACAUUUAGCCAGAGAUUGCAGUAUUAUUUCAAAGCAAAUCCCGCUAACGCUUAUAAUGGUGUGUUCUCAAUUCGACAUUUGACGCCCGUCCUUCUCUCUCUCUGAGCACCGGAAGUGCACGCUGCCUGUUUCCCCCACGUGCAGUUGGACAGCUGCAUAUCUCAGCCUACACGUGCACAACUACUGCACGUGGACGUGCACGUGCACGUGAAGCCACAAGAUUUCAUCUGACAUUACAUCAAGACCAGCUUUUGUGUGAACAUCACUUAUCACCCCGGAUUCCCAGCCCAGGUGCAUCUCGGAAACUUGAUCACUGUUGCGGAUAGUACAGCCUUGGAGCAAGGCUAGCCGUUGACCUCUGUCUGCGAUACCUCCGUCUUACCGGACGAUUAUGACCUUCAACCUGGCCGUAGCAGUGUGCUAGUUGUAUUGCUUUGUAAAGCAUAUUCACAUAAGGGUUCACAUCAUAAACAUUUGCAAACUUUUCAUUUGGCCGAACAAUUGUUAUUUGCCAUCUGUCAUUAACCAACAACAACUGACGACAGAUGCGUCGAGAUCAUUCAGAUAUGACGAGAUUCGCAUAUUCCUCCAACACAAACGAGCGUUAUAGUUCGAGCGUUUUAUAUCACUUGAGUCUUGAGAAUUAAGUCGCUCACAUUAAUCCCGCUUAACGUUUUGGAUAGCUGUUGUCACUUUCAGCAGUCCCACUUUAAAUUAUCUACGAUCACGUCACUUUCAACAGCCUAGCUUUAAAUUAUCUGUCUGCGAUCAUAUCAAUUUCAGCAGUCCCACUUUAAAUUAUCUACGAUCACGUCACUUUCCACAGCCUUGGUUUAAAUAAUCUAUCUACGUCCACGUCACUUUCGGCAGUCCCACUUUAAAUUAUCUACGAUCACGUCACAUCACAGCCUUGCUUUAAAUUAUAUAUCUACGAUCGCGUCACUUUCAGCAGUCCCGCUUUAAAUUUUAUCUACGAUCACGUCACUUUCAGCAGUCCCGCUUUAAAUUAUCUACGAUCACGUCAUUUCCAGCAAUCCCGCUUUAAAUUAUCUACGAUCACGUCACCAUCAACAUCCUUGCUUUAAAUUAUCUACGACCACGUCACUUUCAGCCGUCUCACUUCAAAUUUUCUACGAUCACGUCACUUUCAACAGCCUUGAUUUAAAUUAUCUACGACCACGUCACUUUCAGCAGCGCCGGUAUAAAAUAUCCACGAUCACGUCACAUGUAGCGAAAGGCGUGACGGCGAGGCAUCUUGCUACCCGCCCUAUUGUUUAGGUAUUGUGCAAAUUGUACCCCAGACAUGGAUAGUGCAGUUUACUGACUGGGGCGGUUGAGAAUCUAAAAAGUGAUCUCACUAUCACUCGCCAGAUUCCUGCUGACGUCGAGGUGUUUGUGCCAACCAAUUGAGUCUCUAAUCACCUCGCCAUACUUCCAUUGUCAGUAAUGACGGUAUUUAGCCAGACUGCAGUCACCGCGCUAGUACAUCGCGCACGUGCUUCAACACAGACAGGGGAGACAAUUAAAUGGGAAAGAUGAUGAGGGCUUCAGUGAUGAAGCCAUCCUUUAUCAAAAUGCCCUGGGCACAGUACAAUAUUGCAACUAGCAUCAAAUUUAUCGAGUCUGACAUCAGCUCAUUCCGGCAGCCGGAUCGGGGAUUUAAAACGAAAUAUGAGCGUGAAGUCGGAGAAGUCAAGAUGAAGUCAUCAAAAUUGAAUUUUUUUAAAUGAAGGGAGUGUUUAUGUCAUCUUACAGUGCUCAGAUAAUUCAAAAGUCAAAUUACAAAUCCUUUGUGACUUGGUCUAUUAAAUUGAAAAUAUAAAUUUCUGGCUGAGAGAGUGCGCUGUAUGACAUUUUAUUACAAAAAGGUGGACAAUCAGUUUCGAAUUGAAACCAGCUAGGGAAAGAGGAAUGGCCCAGAUGUUUCUGAAAUGUGAUGAACUGAUAUUUAAUGAAAUCAUAAUCUCCAGACAGUUU